GACGAACGCUGGCGGCGUGCUUAACACAUGCAAGUCGAGCGGUAAGGCCCUUUCGGGGGUACACGAGCGGCGAACGGGUGAGUAACACGUGGGUGACCUGCCCUCAGCUCUGGGAUAAGCCUGGGAAACCGGGUCUAAUACUGGAUAUGACUCCAUGACGCAUGUUGUGGGGUGGAAAGCCUUGUGCGGCUGAGGAUGGGCCCGCGGCCUAUCAGCUUGUUGGUGGGGUGANGGCCUACCAAGGCAACGACGGGUAGCCGGCCUGAGAGGGCGACCGGCCACACUGGGACUGAGACACGGCCCAGACUCCUACGGGAGGCAGCAGUGGGGAAUCUUGCGCAAUGGGCGAAAGCCUGACGCAGCGACGCCGCGUGA
rnacentral:rRNA from 1 species